rnacentral:rRNA from 1 species
UACGAAGGGUGCAAGCGUUGUUCGGAAUUACUGGGCGUAAAGGGCUCGUAGGCGGCCAACUAAGUCAUACGUGAAAUCCCUCAGCUUAACUGGGGAACUGCGUGUGAUACUGGAUGGCUUGGAUUUGGGAGAGGGAUGCGGAAUUCCAGGUGUAGCGGUGAAAUGCGUAGAUAUCUGGAGGAACACCGGUGGCGAAGGCGGCAUCCUGGACCAAUAUUGACGCUGAGGAGCGAAAGCCAGGGGAGCAAACGGG